GUACCGGCUUAGGCAGUACAUAUACUAAAAUUGGAACGAUACAGAGAAGGAUGACAUGCAAAUUUGUGAAGUGUUCCAUAUUUUA
rnacentral:snRNA from 1 species